GGCAACACUGUCCUCUAGCACAUGGUGACAAGUUUCCUCUUUUUCACAUGGUGACAGAUUUCUUCAAAAAAAGAGAAAAAUUUAAAAACGUGCAAAUAUUUGGAAUUGUUUAUUUUAUUCUCUUGUACAUUAUUUGUGUAUUGGCGUUACUGCUUACUGCUUCUACCUCUGCAACCAACACUAAGAAAAAAGCAAUGGGUGAAAAAAAUAUUACUCCUUUUGAUGGUAAAAAAUAUUUAACAUGGAAAUUAAAAAUUCGAGAUUUGUUAGAUGAAAACGAUGUGCUGGAAGUGAUCGAUAAAAAGCCCGGUGAAGUUGCUGAUAAAUGGAAAAGCAAGGAAAUGCUGGCAAAGAGCCUCAUAACUAAAAAUCUGAGCGACUCAUGUCUCUUCCGUGCUACCAAUGGACUUACGGAAUUAACAGCAAAAGAGAUUUUCAAAAAUUUGGAUGCAAUUUAUGAAAGAAAAGGCUAUUCGGGAACGCUAUUUGUCCUCAGAGAGUUGUAUUCAUUGAAAUUAAAAGGACACAGUCUAAUACAACAUUUUCAAGAAUUUGAUGAAUUAAUUGAUGAAUUGUCUGCUACAGGAACAGAAAUGAGUGAAGUAAAACAAAUAUCUUAUUUGCUUCGAACUCUGCCUUCUUCAUAUGAUGAAGUCAUUGCAAUUAUCGAACAAUUACCUGAUGAGAACAAGACUCUAGCGAUUGCUAAGAAGCUACUUUUGGAUCAUAAUUGUACUAAGCCCCCUUUCUAAAGCGCACUAACUAAUACAAUUUAUCACACAAAAAUAUUACAUUUAAAAAACAACAACAUAAAUUUUAAAUAUGCAGAUCACCGUGGUACAAUUGGUCACGGUCAAACGAAUUCAUGUAAGCACGUGAAUAAAAAGAAGAGGAAAAAAGGAUUACAAAUGGAUAAGAGCUUAGAAAAUAUUUCACAAAUACAAAAAUGGAAUGAUCAAAUAGGGAUAUUAAUUUUCUAUUCCGGAAUGAUGUCAAACUUCAAGUUGUGGUAGUCUGCUUAAUAUGGAUAAGUUUACUAACAAUAUAUAACCAAAUCACAGAUGGUCUAAACAAAAUUCUAUUUUAACCCCGAUCGAGUACUGAAUUGUAUACCAAUUUGGUAAUUGGGAUCGGUAUUAAAUAGUUGGAUGCCAUCAGGACACACAGUUUCUGGAAAAAUAAACAAAAAACAAUUUUCUUGCUUAAUUAACUUUCAUUUAUAAUUUUACAAUUAUGAUUCUGGAGCGAAGUCGGGCAAUCAUUUGAACAUGUUAAAAAUAAAAAAAAAUUGUAUUUUUUCAACUUCAAA